rnacentral:rRNA from 1 species
UGAGGAAUAUUGGUCAAUGGACGGAAGUCUGAACCAGCCAAGUAGCGUGCAGGACGACGGCCCUCCGGGUUGUAAACUGCUUUUAGUUGGGAAUAAAGUGCGGGACGCGUCCCGUUUUGUAUGUACCAUCAGAAAAAGGACCGGCUAAUUCCGUGCCAGCAGCCGCGGUAAUACGGAAGGUCCGGGCGUUAUCCGGAUUUAUUGGGUUUAAAGGGAGCGCAGGCGGGCUUUUAAGUCAGUUGUGAAAUACGGCGGCUCAACCGUCGGACUGCAGUUGAUACUGGAAGCCUUGAGUUCGCACAGGGAUGCCGGAAUUCAUGGUGUAGCGGUGAGAUGCUCAGAUAUCAUGAAGAACUCCGAUCGCGAAGGCAGGCAUCCGGGGCUUACUGACGCUGAAGCUCGAAAGUGCGGGUAUCGAACAGGAUUAGAUACCCUGGUAGU